UAAACUGUUUUUGCUUAGAUCAAGCAGAACAAAGGCAAAGAGGUAAUAUGACCAGUGAAGCAGAGUUAAGAAGCCCAAUCGGAAUGAAGAAAUUGGUUACAUGACCAAUCGGAACAAAGGCAGAGAGGUUGGUUUGCCCUUGAUUGAUCUGGCUGUCUCUGGCUGACUGGCUCCGUCUCGUAAUGAAUGAAUUGGACCGACUGGCACAACAGCUGCACGUUAUCAUUUAUGCCGACACUGGUACCAUCUGUAACUGACUAACUAUAGCAAGUAGAAGAGGUCUGGGUCAAGGUCAUGGUCUUCAAUAGCGAUAACACUUGGAUUUCACAACCAAAUGGUGUU